AGGAACACCAUUGUAACCAUCACAAGAGGUCAAGGAAAAAUCGAGUGCAUCAAAGGCACGAAGGAAGCGAGGUGAGGUACGAGGGUUUACAGACACAAGACACAUUGCCUUCAAUCACUUCAAUCCCCUUUUUAUGUACCCGGCGCCCCCGGUUUCGGUUUCCCUAUAAUGGCGGCCUCACAUCUAUACAAGCGGGUGACUGGCGUUGUGCAAUGUUCAGAUUGAGGCAAGACAAAAAAGGCGCAAACAAGCCUUGUCUGGCACGCGCUAAUUAGCAUACAGUGACGUCACCAGGCUGCUAAUCGAUGGCCCGGUAAUGUCAAACGGCAUGUAGGUAAAACAGGGUGGGUUGUAGAAGAUGUCGCUGGCAGCUGCUCUCAAGGAGGAGACACACUCCGCAGGUGAAAGUGAGGAUGGCCGCGAGCGGUGUUCGUCGAGAAAGUGAUCGACUGGUUUAUUUUCUUCUCUGUUUUCAUUCAAGAGGCGUUCUUUAAAGCUGGUUGGCCUAUAUUCAAUAAAUAAAAGAAAAGAGAAGAAGAUACAAAGAAGAAAAGCAAGAACAUAGUGGACAAGACUGGCGGCGAAUACGGAGCUUUCAUGUUCUUGUUGCGAAGACGUCCUCAACCAUCGACUGCUGAUGACAUUUUUAAAAAAAAUGGGAAUAACGGAAGAUCACGAGCAACACCUGAUGAAAUUUAAGAUAUAGAAAGUAGCAUCAUCAGCUUCAUCGCAUGCAUCAUCAUCAGAGCCCCACAUACAAGUAGUUCAUUCCCUAGCAAUCCUCAUCCUUCUGUGUUAAUAUAAAACAAACUUGCUGUCUACAUCACUCAUUCAUUCAUCCCAUUACUGGUAUCAGCUGACAAACGGAUAUGAUGGUCCUCUCGGGGAUGGGGAGGAGUUGGGGGAGUUGGAUAGAUGCCGCGGUUGACAUGACUCACGAAAGGAACAAAUAAAACAUAAAUAAAAAAAAUACAAAUAAAAAAGAGAGAGAGAGUUUGGAAAACUAUUGUAAGAAGCACGGAAGAGACCAAGAGAUCAGACGAGCUCACAAAAUGAUGCUGCAGACAUGUGAUGCAGUCAUCUAGCACAUGCCGUAAACUGGAAAUAGUUGCUUACUAGGAUUGGCCGAGCGGCAAGCAUUGAAAGGGAGCCGCUAGAAGCGGUUGGCAAAAGACGGAGGGCAAACAGCCAUCGAUCCCCUCAGCCUCAGCAUCUCUCACGGCACUGCCGCCCCCCUACGUACCUUGCCCACGUCGCCUGCUGUCUGCAGCAGCUGUUUGCGUCUGGCCAAGCAACUCGCUGGAGGGUUUGACGAGGUUCCAAAGUGACAAGGAGGGUGGCGUGAGCACAGUUUGACGUGGCUUUGGGAGGAAAUAAGGGCAGAGAUAUUCGAUGUCUUUUGGAGGAAUAAGGCAGGGCAUACAGCUUGACAACGUUGGGGCAGGACAGGGCAGGACAGGACAGGGCAGGACAGGGCAGGACAGGGCAGGACAGGGCAGGACAGGGCAAUGGUUGACGUCGCAGGUACUUAGAAGGCAACAGACAACUUGCCUGAAGCUGUGUCUCUGACACCAGGAUUCACCAGCAAGAAACAACCUGCAGACUAAAUUAAUUGUACACUAACAUAAUAAAAUACACACGAGUCGUUCCCUUACUGUCAGAGCACGUGUAUGCGUGCGUGUCGAGCGCAUGUUUCUUCAAUUUGCAGAUUAAACACCUGACUGGUCAGCAGACUGAAGAUGACACCCUGGGAGCAAAGGUCAUGAUCAGACUGUCUCUUGCCGAUCGUGCUAAUCGAUAAAGCCGUUGACUAAUGUCUCAGAGCAGACACAUCAAUAAUUGUUCUUCUCCCGUCGUCAGAGCUUUCGUCUGGUUUUCCAUUUAAUCUUUGGGUGACACUGAAGUUGAAAAUAUUGGGGAAAAGAUAUCGGAAUAAUAAUAAUAAUAAUAAUAAUAAUAAUAAUAAUAAUAAUAAUAAUAAUAAUAAUAAUACGAUAUGACCAAGAUGACGCAAAAAUAAAACAAAUUCUUACAAAUUAAUGUAAAAUAAUAAUUUAUUAUCUCUGAAAUCUGAUCUCCACAUGAAUGUCACGUAAUCCCAUACAUAAUCUGUGUUUUAUCGUUGGUUUGCCGUUUCUUGAGUGCAAAGAGGAUGAGGUUCAGAUUUCGCCUCGGGCAGGCUUUACUUUCUUUGCACGUGGAACGUUUCUCGGGCAGGCAUGCUUUGCCACGUGACACAACGUGCUUCUGCUUCCACGUGAACCGUAGUUCCCAUCUCUCCAGUCGCCACCCGGUUACUUCCUGUCACGUGUGGGCUAAGUACCCGCAGAGCUAUGGCGGACUCUGCACCCUCGUGACGUGGCUGUGGAUAAGUGGAUACAAAAGCAAGCAUCGCGUGCACUCUUCAAAAGUUUACAGGAAAGAUUACAGAACAACACGCUUGGCUGCCCGGCUGAUCAUGAAAGAUUGGCCACAACACAAAGGUCGCAUUUGAUUAGCUUCUCCUCAGAAAGGACCGCUAGCCUUAAAAUCUGCGUCCAGCUCGCAGACAGCAGCACUUGCCCCGCGAGACCUGCUGUAGGUCUGCACUUGUCCAUAAAACAUUCACAAAGUUGGCAAAAACAAUUUUGAAAUGCAACAGAAAUAGUUGUAAUUGCAUGUGACCCUUGCUUUACUUUUUACAAUAAUAUUGAAAACAGUGGUAAAGAUGUAGAUAAUAAUGAGUGGCCCUGGAAAACCUGUAGCCGUGUGCAAAAAAAAAAA
rnacentral:lncRNA from 1 species